rnacentral:rRNA from 1 species
GGUCAAGCGAACAAGUGCAUGUGGUGGAUGCCUUGGCGAUCACAGGCGAUGAAGGACGCGGUAGCCUGCGAAAAGCUACGGGGAGCUGGCAAACAAGCUUUGAUCCGUAGAUGUCCGAAUGGGGAAACCCACUCCUUUUGGAGUAUCCAUGGCUGAAUACAUAGGCCAUGUGAAGCGAACGCGGUGAACUGAAACAUCUAAGUAACCGCAGGAAAAGAAAUCAACCGAGAUUCCCAAAGUAGUGGCGAGCGAAAUGGGAUGAGCCUUGCACUCUUUAUUUGUAUUGUUAGCCGAACGCUCUGGAAAGUGCGGCCAUAGCAGGUGAUAGCCCUGUAGGCGAAAACAGUAUGAAAGAACUAGGUGUGCGACAAGUAGGGCGGGACACGUGAAAUCCUGUCUGAAGAUGGGGGGACCAUCCUCCAAGGCUAAAUACUCGUGAUCGACCGAUAGUGAACCAGUACCGUGAGGGAAAGGCGAAAAGAACCCCGGGAGGGGAGUGAAAUAGAUCCUGAAACCGCAUGCAUACAAACAGUCGGAGCCUCGUAAGGGGUGACGGCGUACCUUUUGUAUAAUGGGUCAGCGACUUACGUUCAGUAGCAAGCUUAACCGUAUAGGGCAGGCGUAGCGAAAGCGAGUCCGAAUAGGGCGUUCAGUUGCUGGGCGUAGACCCGAAACCAGGUGAUCUAUCCAUGGCCAGGAUGAAGGUGCGGUAACACGUACUGGAGGUCCGAACCCACUAACGUUGAAAAGUUAGGGGAUGAGCUGUGGAUAGGGGUGAAAGGCUAAACAAACCUGGAAAUAGCUGGUUCUCUCCGAAAACUAUUUAGGUAGUGCCUCGUGUCUCACCUUCGGGGGUAGAGCACUGUCAUGGUUGGGGGGUCUAUUGCAGAUUACCCCGCCAUAGCAAACUCCGAAUACCGAAGAGUGCAAUCACGGGAGACAGACAUCGGGUGCUAACGUCCGGUGUCAAGAGGGAAACAACCCAGACCGCCAGCUAAGGUCCCCAAAUAUAGCUAAG